UAGGGAAUCUUCCACAAUGGACGCAAGCCUGAUGGAGCAACGCCGCGUGAGUGAAGAAGGUUUUCGGAUCGUAAAGCUCUGUUGUUGGUGAAGAAGGAUAGAGGCAGUAACUGGUCUUUAUUUGACGGUAAUCAACCAGAAAGUCACGGCUAACUACGUGCCAGCAGCCGCGGUAAUACGUAGGUGGCAAGCGUUGUCCGGAUUUAUUGGGCGUAAAGCGAGCGCAGGCGGAAUGAUAAGUCUGAUGUGAAAGCCCACGGCUCAACCGUGGAACUGCAUCGGAAACUGUCAUUCUUGAGUGCAGAAGAGGAGAGUGGAAUUCCAUGUGUAGCGGUGGAAUGCGUAGAUAUAUGGAAGAACACCAGUGGCGAAGGCGGCUCUCUGGUCUGCAACUGACGCUGAGGCUCGAAAGCAUGGGUAGCAAACAGG
rnacentral:rRNA from 1 species